rnacentral:rRNA from 1 species
UGGGGAAUUUUGGACAAUGGGCGAAAGCCUGAUCCAGCAAUGCCGCGUGUGUGAAGAAGGCCUUCGGGUUGUAAAGCACUUUUGUCCGGAAAGAAAUCCUUGGCUCUAAUACAGUCGGGGGAUGACGGUACCGGAAGAAUAAGCACCGGCUAACUACGUGCCAGCAGCCGCGGUAAUACGUAGGGUGCAAGCGUUAAUCGGAAUUACUGGGCGUAAAGCGUGCGCAGGCGGUUUGCUAAGACCGAUGUGAAAUCCCCGGGCUCAACCUGGGAACUGCAUUGGUGACUGGCAGGCUAGAGUAUGGCAGAGGGGGGUAGAAUUCCACGUGUAGCAGUGAAAUGCGUAGAGAUGUGGAGGAAUACCGAUGGCGAAGGCAGCCCCCUGGGCCAAUACUGACGCUCAUGCACGAAAGCGUGGGGAGCAAAACAGGAUUAGAUACCCUGGUAGUCCACGCCCUAAAACGAUGUCAACUAGUUGUUGGGGAUUCAUUUCCUUAGUAACGUAGCUAACGCGUGAAGUUGACCGCCUGGGGAGUACGGUCGCAAGAUUAAAAACUCAAAUGAAUUGACGGGGUCAUAGCUGUUUCCU